rnacentral:misc_RNA from 1 species
AUAGUGAAAUCUUCAAAGAGGUGAUUAUAUUUUACCAUUUCAAGCACCAGAAGAACUAUUGUGUGUGUGUGUGUGUGUAUAAAUAAAAUAAAAUAAAGUGGAGGCAAUGAGGUGGCAAUUACACAAGGAAUGCAACUAGAAGGCCUGCGAAGUGAUUCAGCUAUGAGAGUGACAUUCAGUGAUGAAAUGGGAUUUUUAGAAGUACGGUUCUCCACAAAGAAAUAAUAUAUUGCAGGCACAUCAGCAUCUGAAAUGUCGACCUCUCUUUCAAAUUUCAUACAACUCAAAAAACAUUGUACACAUUAACACCAUACUAUAUAGGCAAGGUUUAAAAACAUGUUAGUGCAUCAAUACAUCAACAUAAUAAUAAAGCAAAUCCAUAUAUUCAACCAUAAGUUUUACAAAGCAAUAAAUUAAGCAAAGGCAUACAAGGUAUAUAAACAACAGACAAAGUUUAACUUUGUAAAGAAGGAUCAUUGCACAAAUCACCAGUUGAAUAUCCGUAAGAAAAAGUGAAGGUGAAUGUUCAUAAACUCCAUCUUUCAUCCU